GUCCAAAGUGUUGAGUUCAGUUCUGGGCUUUUCCCCAGUCCUGGUAAUUACUCUUUGGCACAGAGAAUGGCAUAGAAUGGCUUUGUAUAGGUGGACAGGACAGCCACAUGAUUCCACUCUAGCCAACACCU
ensembl:snoRNA SNORA36B small nucleolar RNA SNORA36 family